rnacentral:rRNA from 1 species
AUACGUAGGGGGCGAGCGUUGUCCGGAAUUAUUGGGCGUAAAGGGCGCGUAGGCGGCGCGGUAAGUCUGGAGUGAAAGUCCUGCUUUCAAGGUGGGAAUUGCUUUGGAUACUGCCGCGCUUGAGUGCAGGAGAGGUUAUCGGAAUUCCCGGUGUAGCGGUGAAAUGCGUAGAGAUCGGGAGGAACACCAGUGGCGAAGGCGGGUAACUGGACUGCAACUGGCGCUGAGGAGCGAAAGUGUGGGGAGCAAACAGGAUUAGAUACCCUGGUAGUCCACACUGUAAACGAUGAAAGCUAGGUGUAGGGGGUAUCGACUCCUUCUGUACCGCAGUCAACACAAUAAGCAUUCCGCCUGGGGAGUACGGCCGCAAGGUUGAAACUCAAAUGAAUUGACGGGG